rnacentral:tRNA from 1 species
GGAGGCGUAGCUCAAUAGCAGAGCAGCCGGCUCUUAACCGGCAGGCUGUGGGUGCAAGUCCCACCGCCUCCACCA